rnacentral:rRNA from 1 species
UGGGGAAUAUUGCACAAUGGGGGAAACCCUGAUGCAGCGACGCCGCGUGAGCGAAGAAGGCGUUCGAGUCGUAAAGCUCUGUCCUAUGAGAAGAUAAUGACGGUAUCAUAGGAGGAAGCCCUGGCUAAAUACGUGCCAGCAGCAGCGGUAAUACGUAUGGGGCGAGCGUUGUCAGGAAUAAUUGGGCGUAAAGGGUACGUAGGUGGUUUUUUAAGUCAGGUGUCAAAGAGUGGAGCUUAACUCCAUUAAGCACUUGAAACUGAAAGACUUGAGUGAAGGAGAGGAAAGUGGAAUUCCUAGUGUAGCGGUGAAAUGCGUAGAUAUUAGGAGGAAUACCGGUGGCGAAGGCGACUUUCUGGACUUUUACUGACGCUCAGGUACGAAAGCGUGGGGAGCAAACAGG